rnacentral:rRNA from 1 species
GAUGAACGCUGGCGGCGUGCCUAAUACAUGCAAGUCGAGCGAACAGACGAGGAGCUUGCUCCUCUGACGUUAGCGGCGGACGGGUGAGUAACACGUGGAUAACCUACCUAUAAGACUGGGAUAACUUCGGGAAACCGGAGCUAAUACCGGAUAAUAUAUUGAACCGCAUGGUUCAAUAGUGAAAGACGGGUUUGCUGUCACUUAUAGAUGGAUCCGCGCCGCAUUAGCUAGUUGGUAAGGUAACGGCUUACCAAGGCAACGAUGCGUAGCCGACCUGAGAGGAUGAUCGGCCACACUAGAACUGAGACACGGUCCAGACUCCUACGGGAGGCAGCAGUAGGGAAUCUUCCGCAAUGGGCGAAAGCCUGACGGAGCAACGCCGCGUGAGUGAUGAAGGUCUUCGGAUCGUAAAACUCUGUUAUUAGGGAAGAACAAAUGUGUAAGUAACUAUGCACGUCUUGACGGUACCUAAUCAGAAAGCCACGGCUAACUACGUG